rnacentral:lncRNA from 1 species
CUUAAUGCAAAAGGUGGAUUUGGCUGAGACCACUUCAAGGCAAUCCAAUGAAUGGAUGUUUCAGAAAGAGGUUUGCUUUCUGGCCUGUCUCAACAAUUUAUAGCGUGCUUUGUGCUGUGUGCUGAGGUCCUGAGAGACAUCCUUUAUGGUUGUGCAGAAGGCUGAAUAGAAAGGCAGAGGCUUUGCACGGCAAGGAGGAUGAAGAGAUGGGGGAGUCCAGGCAGCAGAAAUAGAACAUAUGUGAGGCUCUGUCCCCAGGCUCUGAAGAUCGGAGUAAUUCUCUGCAAAAGGAGUUGGGACCUCAGUCAUGAUUAGGCAAGGACUAGAAACUUCCACAAGGGCAAGAAUGCAAAGGGCUUCAUCCAAGGGGAAACUGGGAGACAUGAACUAUUUUAUGUUGUUUUACCUCUAUGCAGAGCAACACUUCACUCAAUGAGUUUUUACAAAGAAAACUUACAACGCGGGGCCUCUGUUGGUGAAUGGAGUCAAGGUGGAAGAUGAUGGAGGCAGGGAAUGCUGAAGACCACGAAUGCUAAGGGCCAUGAACACUGAAGACAGACAGUUACAUUUAUGCACUCUCUUGCUUUGGUCUGGAAUGUGCUGCUUAAGCAGACAAUACUAUGAAGAUUUUAAUGGCCUUUUAAAGAGAAGCCAGAUCUUCCUUCUCACUUUUUUAGUUCUUUCCUUAAUUAUUCCCACAACAUAUAUAUACGUUCUAUCAUCUCUGCUUAACAAGA